UGGGGAAUAUUGCACAAUGGAGGGAACUCUGAUGCAGCGACGCCGCGUGAACGAAGAAGGCUUUCGAGUCGUAAAGUUCUUUUAUAUGGGAAGAUAAUGACGGUACCAUAAGAAAAAGCCCCGGCUAACUACGUGCCAGCAGCCGCGGUAAUACGUAGGGGGCUAGCGUUGUCCGGAAUUAUUGGGCGUAAAGCGUUCGUAGGCUGUUUGUUAAGUCUGGAGUUAAAUCCCGGGGCUCAACCCCGGCUCGCUUUGGAUACUAGCAAACGAGAGUUAGAUAGAGGUAAGCGGAAUUCCAUGUGAAGCGGUGAAAUGCGUAGAUAUAUGGAAGAACACCAAAGGCGAAGGCAGCUUACUGGGUAUAUACAGACGCUGAGGGACGAAAGCGUGGGGAGCAAACAGG
rnacentral:rRNA from 1 species